UGGGGAAUUUUGCACAAUGGGGGGAACCUUGAUGCAGCGACGCCGCGUGAGGGAUGGAGGCCUUCGGGUUGUGAACCUCUUUCGCUCGUGUGCAAGCCGCUAUUUGGGUAGUGGUGAGUGUAGCGGGUAAAGAAGCGCCGGCUAACUACGUGCCAGCAGCCGCGGUAAUACGUAGGGCGCGAGCGUUGUCCGGAUUUAUUGGGCGUAAAGGGCUUGUAGGCGGUUUGUCGCGCCUGUCGUAUAAUCCUCUGGCUUAACUGGGGGUGUGCGGUGGGUACGGGCAGGCUUGAGUGCGGUAGGGGAGAUUGGAAUUCCUGGUGUAGCGGUGGAAUGCGCAGAUAUCAGGAGGAACACCGGUGGCGAAGGCGGGUCUCUGGGCCGUUACUGACGCUGAGGAGCGAAAGCGUGGGGAGCGAACAGG
rnacentral:rRNA from 1 species